UCGUCCCUGUGUUGUUUGCUGAUUGAUUGUUCAAAAUCAGUGAUUGUCAGACGGGACAUACAUUAAAUUCCAAUGUCUCGUUAUUGUCUUCAAAUCGCACACUAUGCAUGAAGGCAUCUCCAUACAUUGGUAACAAUC